CGGUCAGAAAGCGGUUCCAGGUAGAACUCUUGAAGAAAGGGAUCAGAGGGGAGUGGACAGUUGUGGAAAAGGCUGAUCGUUUUUCGUCACUAAAGAACGUGUACUUUUUAUCCGUUUAUAGUUGCUUUAAAUGAGUAUAAAACCAAUCAACACCUGACGGAUCAGAACGCAGAACCUUCCAGCGCAGUUCAUCAUUUCAUAACAAACAGCCAUUUUGGAUUUUCUAUAAUAAAAAAAAAUAAAAAAUCAAAGUGAAUGAAAUUCCGGCUUCUCUAACUAACGCAUCGUUAAAUUCUGAAAUAAAACUCAUUAACGUCUCCCGAGAGCGUUUUUAUUUUCUUGUGUUUCUGCUGGGUUUUGUUAUUGUUGUUGUUGUUGUUGUUGUUGUCGGUGGUUAUUAUUUUUAGCGAAGCUGCUGAGCUGAACUGAUGCAACUGGGUGCAAAUCCCUGAAGCCCUGAUGACCGCUUUUUGAGGGUGUUCAUGUCUCCAGAUGGCUGAGUGUGAUGGGUCCUGACAAGACCGACCUCCAAACACACACACACACAUCUCUCUCUCUUUCUUUUUUUUUUAGAACCCUUAAGGAUGAUUCGUGUUGUCCCUCUGCGGGAACUGUGAAAGAUUCUGUGUAAAACCCUACAAGAGAGUUCCAUUAGAAAAGGUUCCACGUAGAAAUGCUUAGGAGACUAUGAACCCUUCAAUUAUCCAGUGAACCCAUAAACACCCUUUCUUCUAACAUUCUUAAGGCUCGUCUCUCCUGGGGGAACUCCUACGUAGAACGCUACAACAAAUGGUUCAAACCUUUUAGGAGACUAAAACCCCCUUGAUUAUCCACAGAACCUCUAAGGAACCGGUGAAGAACCUAUUCUAUUCGCGUCGUCCCUGCUAUGAGAACCGUUCAAGCUUCUAUGUAGAACCCUACAACGGAGUGUGCUUCGUCCAUUAGAAAAGGUUCCACAGAGAACUGCUUGAGGAAACUAUGAACCAUUAAAUGAUCCACGAUUCUUAAGAGUUCUUCGGGUGUCUCUCUUCGGGGAACCCGUAAAGAUUCUACAUAGAGCAACAAAUGGUUCAAACAUUUUAGGAGGCUAACCCUACAAGACAGAGUGUCUUUCCGUAAUAGAAAUGGUUCCACAUAGAACAGUUUUUUUUUUUUUUUGGAAGCUAAAAAUCCUUACCUGUCUAACACACCCUUGAAGAACACUUGUUUAGUAGAACCUUUACAUUGCCUUUGCGGUCCCUCUUGGGGGAACCCUUUAAGAUUCCAUAUAGAACCCUACAGCAAAGUGUUUAGAACCCUUCAGGGUUGUUCGGUUGUCUUUCUUUUGGGAAACCCGUAAAGAUUCUAUGUAGAACUCUACAAAAAAAAACGUGUUUUUCGACAAGAAACGGUUCCAGGUCGAAACCGUUUUGGAGGCCAAGAACACUUAAUUAUCCUCAGAACCUCUGAAGAACUCUUGAAGAACCAUUUUUACCAAGAUACAAACAUGGCAGAGUGCCAAAAAAAUGCAAUUUAGCAGUGGGGUUUUUAUAUAAACAAUAUAAAAUAGGCGUAUUUAACGCUUUGUUAAGCUCCGCCCCCUGGGUUACUCCUACAUACAGAGACGUUAAUAUCUUGGUCGUUUUUUGGAGCAAAGUACCCAAAAUUUUUGCAAGGAUGUCAUGGAUGGAACUGUUGAUGGAAACAUACUAGAUAUUCUUUAUUGAUUUAUUUAUGGAAAGAUCGAAACUCCAGCUAGCUACGCUCCUGGACAAUUUCCGUACUCUUAACGACUCUACGUAGAACCCUCCAAAUAAGUGUUUGGAAGCAAAGAACCCUUAAAGAACCCUUGAAGAACCUUUUCCAAGAGUAAACCCAGUAAUCAUCAUCAUCAUCAUCAUCAUCAUCAUCAUCAUCAGGAUGAACUGGCUGAGUGUACGUGCACAGAUCACACGCACAGCAGAUUUGCCAACGAUUAAACUUUUUUAUUUGUUAAAGAACUUCACGCCAUAGUUUCUAUCCAUUUAGAGUUACCUUUAAGGUUGUGGAACAUCCCUGGUUUUGUUCAUCGUCUUUUAUUACCGAGAAACCGCAAAAGAAGCACAAACUCCUCCGUCCUAGAAGUUCUAGAUUUACGUCGGACACUGGAGACUCCUUCCGUGAAUGUUAAACAAACAUGUUACUAUAGAAACGAUAACGUUUUAGAACAAGCGCAUUCACGGGAUAAAGAAAAAAAGCUUAAAAUAGUCAUCUUCUGUGGAGAAAAUCCCUUUUCCUAAAAAGUGUCCAAAGUUUAGAAAGAUUCAAUCCAGAAUUGGUGACGUUCUCCAUCAUGGAAAGAAAAGAAGAAAAAAAAAACAAGUUCUUCAUCUUCCUCUCUCUCUCCGUCCUCUCCAUUUAAAAAAAAAAAAAAAAAAAAGGACAUUUGUUUUCCGGAAAGAUGGGAAUGUACAGAUCUGACCCGAGUGAUCCGUGCUUCAGUGCGCAGUAAAAGUCCACACUCGGAUCCAGAGAAGCUUCUGGAAAAAUCCAGGCGUGAUCCAUUAAGAUCUGUAAAAUAUUCCAGCUCUGGUAUACAAACUGAAUCAGAGCUUUCCGUAUCAGACACGAUCCCGGAUUCUCCACCGAAGCCACCGAUCCGAGUGGAGGCACUUUACGACACCAUCCUUUUAACUCGACACGUCUACAAAUUCCCAGUAUAUCCACUCGGAUCAGAUCCGAGCCAGUCCGGAGUUCUCCGGUUCUCCGUCCAGCGUCCAGGCGAGAGAGAGCGAGCUGAAAUAAAAAGAGAACGACGCCGGUGCUGCAGCGUGCUCGGAUUCCGAGUCUCCUGCUCCUCGGGAUUUCCCGGGAUCGGUGAGGAGAAGAUCUGCCGCGUCGCCCGCGGAGCAGAGAGGAGACCGAUCCCGAGCGUGUUGUCCGUUCCCCGUCACGCCGGAGUUAGACGAGAAGGUGAGCCGGGAUCGGACGGACGGAUGGAACGUGCUGUUCCUCUCACGUGAGCUGGAUGGCAGCAGUACGACUCGGAACGACAGAGGCGGGAGACGCUUUGUCUGUGAGGACGAGAGAGGGGAAUGCAAAGGAAUGUCAGAUCAAAUCUUUUAUUUAAAGGAUCUGAUCGGUGCGCGGAAUACGUCCUACUCAACACACACACGUUCUGCACAAUACGUCCUACUCAACACACACACGUUCUGCACAAUACGUCCUACUCAACACACACACGUUCUGCACCUGGGUUUAUUAAAUAUACAGCAUACACAUGUACAUUACUCAUAUCACAGAUAAACCAUCACUCUCUCUCUCUCUCUCUCUCUCUCUCUCUCUCUCUCUCUCUCGUAGACCUUGUUUUUCUUCUCCUUUGGUUUCUGCUUCUUCUCUUUCUCCACUUCCUUUCAGUCUCCUUUUCUUCUUCUAAUCACAAUUUCUUAUUCACUCAUUCUUUCUCUCUCUUAUUUUUAGUUUACAGCCUUCUUUCUUUCUUUCUCUCUCUCUCUUUCUCUUUCCGUCAUGCUCUUUUUUCUCGCUUUUCUUUUUGUUUCUCUUCAUUUGUAAUCAUUUAUUUUCUUUUUUAUAACCACAUUCUUUUGCUUUUCAGCUUUCAAUCUAUUUUUUUUUCUUUCUUCUUACCACGCCUUCUUGUGUUUUUUUUUUCCCUUCCUUCCUUCCUUCCUUCUUUCUUGUUAAUAAAGAGCAGAUGAUUUGCUGCUGCUUGAUUGUAAAGCGUCCAAAGUCAAACAUUUUUAAAUGGACGUUUGAGGUUUUUUUUUUUUUUUAUAAACACAGCAACACGUUUUUAAUGACAUUCAGGUUUUUUUCCUUUCUUUUUUUGUUUGAUACUCCUCUCUUUCUUUCCUUUAUGUCUGUGUCUUUGUUUUAAUUUUCCCACUCUUCCUUGUUUGUUUUUUUCACUUUAACUCCUGAACUCUUUUUUCUCUGACUCAUGAAAAACACAUUUAGUUAUUAGUUUUAAAUUAAAAUGCAUUUUUAAACAAACAUAAUAAAAAUAAAUAAAAAAAAACAGGCUACAGCUUCAGCAACGUGAAUAGCAAUAUGUAUUUCACUUCAUUGAAAUUAUAAUUUUUUUUAAUGAAAUUAAAAUAAUUUAAAAAAUCAUUUUUUAAAGAGAAAAAGAAUAUAAAACACGAAACAGCCAAAAAAAAAAAAAGAAAAAAGAAGGAAAUAGCAGCAGGCAAGAGAUGGCCAAUUAGGUCUGCCAAGUUACCAUGGCAACCAGGACAGACUCAACAAAUGUUGAGUGCUGAGUGUGUGACACACACACACACACACACACACACACUCAUUAGCAUAUCAGCUACACUGUAUUUGUCUCAUUUUAUCUAUGAAGCAAUCAAAUAAAAAAUGUGUACAGGUAGUGUGUAUUGUGUGUAUUGUGUAGUGUGUGGUGUGUGGUGUGUAGUGUGUAAUGUGUAGUGUAGUGUAGUGUGUAGUGUGUGGUGUGUGGUGUGUAUUGUGUGUAGUGUUGUGUGUAGUGUGUAUUGUGUAGUGUGUGUUGUGUGCUGUGUAGUGUGUGCUGUGUAGUGUGUAGUGUGUGUUGUGUAGUGUGUGCUUGUGUAGUGUGUGUUGUGUAUUGUGUAGUGUGUGCUGUGUAGUGUGUAUUGUGUAGUGUGUGUGUGUGUGGUGUGUAGUGUGUAUUGUGUAGUGUGUGUUGUGUGGUGUGUAUUGUGUGGUGUGUAUUGUGUAGUGUGUGUUGUGUGGUGUGUAGUGUGUGUUGUGUAGUGUGUAUUGUGUAGUGUGUGUGUGUGUGUGUGUGU
ensembl:lncRNA